AUCCAACUGACGAGUUCCAAACAGGACGAAACGCGCGUCCUGGAU
rfam:Schistosoma haematobium scaffold214_5, whole genome shotgun sequence.